rnacentral:rRNA from 1 species
GGUGUAGCAAUACACCGGAAGAUUUAGUGGCGAACGGGUGAGGAUCACGUGAGAAACGUGCCCCAGACUCUGGGAUAACAAUUGGAAACGAUUGCUAAUACCGGAUGACGUCGGAGAAUCGCAUGAUUCACUGACGAAAGAUAUUUCGGUUUGGGAGCGUCUCGCGGCCUAUCAGCUUGUUGGUGGGGUAAUGGCCUACCAAGGCAACGACGGGUAGCUGGUCUGAGAGGAUGAUCAGCCACACUGGGACUGAGACACGGCCCAGACUCCUACGGGAGGCAGCAGUGGGGAAUCUUGCGCAAUGGGCGAAAGCCUGACGCAGCAACGCCGCGUGCGGGAUGAAGGCCUUCGGGUUGUAAACCGCUUUCAGUAGGGAAGAAGCGAAAGUGACGGUACCUACAAAAGAAGCACCGGCUAACUAUGUGCCAGCAGCCGCGGUAAUACAUAGGGUGCAAGCGUUGUCCGGAAUUAUUGGGCGUAAAGAGCUCGUAGGUCGUUUGUUGCGUCGGAUGUGAAAACCUGAGGCUCAACCUCAGGCCUGCAUUCGAUACGGGCAAACUAGAGUUUGGUAGGGGAGACUGGAAUUCCUGGUGUAGCGGUGGAAUGCGCAGAUAUCAGGAGGAAACACCAAUGGCGAA